CGGGUGAGUAACACGUAGAGAACCUACCUUACACAGGGGGACAACGGCUGGAAACGGCUGCUAAUACCGCAUAAGCACCCAGUUUCGCAUGAAACAGAGUGAAAGGAGUAAAUCGGUGUAAGAUGGCUCUGCGUCUGAUUAGCUAGUUGGUGGGGUAAAGGCUCACCAAGGCGACGAUCAGUAGCCGGCCUGAGAGGGCGACCGGCCACAUUGGGACUGAGACACGGCCCAGACUCCUACGGAAGGCAGCAG
rnacentral:rRNA from 1 species